rnacentral:rRNA from 1 species
GAGUUUGAUCCUGGCUCAGAUUGAACGCUGGCGGCAUGCCUUACACAUGCAAGUCGAACGGCAGCACGGGAGCUUGCUCCUGGUGGCGAGUGGCGAACGGGUGAGUAAUGCAUCGGAACGUAUCCUGGAGUGGGGGAUAACGUAGCGAAAGUUACGCUAAUACCGCAUAUUCUGUGAGCAGGAAAGCGGGGGACCUUCGGGCCUCGCGCUCUUGGAGCGGCCGAUGUCGGAUUAGCUAGUUGGUGAGGUAAAGGCUCACCAAGGCGACGAUCCGUAGCAGGUCUGAGAGGAUGAUCUGCCACACUGGAACUGAGACACGGUCCAGACUCCUACGGGAGGCAGCAGUGGGGAAUUUUGGACAAUGGGGGCAACCCUGAUCCAGCCAUGCCGCGU